GUCUCGGUAGCUCAGUUGGUAGAGCGCACGGCUGUUAACCGUGAUGUCGUUGGUUCGAGUCCAGCCCGAGACG
rnacentral:tRNA from 1 species